rnacentral:rRNA from 1 species
AGUGAACGCUGGCGGUAGGCCUAACACAUGCAAGUCGAACGGCAGCACAGUAAGAGCUUGCUCUUACGGGUGGCGAGUGGCGGACGGGUGAGGAAUACAUCGGAAUCUACUUUUUCGUGGGGGCUAACGUAGGGAAACUUACGCUAAUACCGCAUACGACCUACGGGUGAAAGCAUGGGAUCUUCGGACCUUGCGCGAUUGAAUGAGCCGAUGUCGGAUUAGCUAGUUGGCGGGGUAAAGGCCCACCAAGGCGACGAUCCGUAGCUGGUCUGAGAGGAUGAUCAGCCACACUGGAACUGAGACACGGUCCAGACUCCUACGGGAGGCAGCAGUGGGGAAUAUUGGACAAUGGGCGCAAGCCUGAUCCAGCCAUACCGCGUGUGUGAAGAAGGCCUUCGGGUUGUAAAGCCCUUUUGUUGGGAAAGAAAAGCAGCAGGUUAAUACCCCGCUGUUCUGACGGUACCCAAAGAAUAAGCACCGGCUAACUUCGUG